rnacentral:lncRNA from 1 species
UGGUAUGUUUCUAGCUCUACCAUUAGGGGUAAGUCCGAUUGAGCAUUUGCCGAACUGUACAUCUCCUCCUUCUCUUAUUCUCACUCCUAUAUUUAACAGGGAUCACUUUUCAGUUAAAUUUAAAUGCUUAAGAAUAAUUGUGUUAAUUAAAGAGUUCAACCAAGAACAAUAAAAUACUAAAAGGAAUAAGUAUUUUAUCUUCUAAUUCAUGAGCAUGGUAUAUCUCUCCAUGAAGUUAUUUCUAAAUUUCUCUCUACAAGUUUAUUUUGAACUCAUAAAUUUUUUUCCAACAGAUUUGUUUCUAAUAUUUAAUAAUUUUUGAUGAUUUUAUAAGUAGGAUUUCAAAAUUUUCCAACUGUUCACUAGUACUAAAAAAAUUAAACUGCUUUUUGUAUAUUGGCUUUGCUAAAUGGGUUCUGUAAGAUUCUUUACAUAGGCAAUCCUAGUAUCUGCAAACUACAAUGGCUCUACUUCUUCUAGAAUAUUCAAGUGAUAUGCAUCCUUACUGUACUGGUUAGGACUUCUAGCAUAAUACUGAACAGAAGUGGUGAGAGUGAUUUUCCUUUCUUUGCACCUUGUCCUAGGGGAAAGGUUUAAUGUUUUCUCUUUUAGAAUGGUAGUAGCAGGAUGUUUCUUAUAGAUUUCCUUUAUCAGACUGAAGUUAUCCUCUCUUCCCAGUUACCCAGAGAUUUUUGCCUUCCCCCACCCAUGGCCAACUGCUUUUUCAGGAUUUUGGUGAGAUGAUCAUGUAAUUUUCAGACAUUAAACCAAUCCUGUACUUUUGGUACACACUUGUAGUAGUCAGCUUUUUGCUACCAUAAUACAAUAGCUAAGAUAGGCUGCUUGUGAAGUAAAGAGAGAUUUAUUUAGUUCACAGUUUUGGAGAUUUAAAGUCUAAAUGUCAGGGUACAGGCUUUGGUUCUGGCAAGGAGCCCAUGGCUGGUGGUGCUGGUGGAAUUCAUGCACAGGGAGGAUUAUAUGGAGGGCUCUUCCUGCCCUGGGCUGGGAAACCUCCGUCUGGGAGGAGGUGACCCCCAUCCCCGCCGUCUGACCCGACCCCGACUGGGGACACUUCCGUGGCACGCUGGAGUCCCUGUCCCAGGCCACGAUGCUGGUCAACACUCCAAGGCGACCGGUAAGGAGCUCCCCACACGACUCAGACACAGAAGUAUGUGCUGCUCCAGAAUUCACUUUCCCACCAAGGGCGGGGCUGUUGCGGCAGCGCAGGGCAUGGUGGGAAAGGCCAGUGUCAGCCAAACAAGCUUCCAGGGGCUGCCGGAUAGUGCAGCACGCGAGGCGCUGCUUGGGACACUGGCGUCCCGUGUUGAGUGCCUGGGUUCGAGUCCUGGCUUCACUCCUGAUGCCAGCUUCCUGCUCAUGUGCCCUCUGGGAGGCAGCAGGUGA